UCAGGUGAAGCUUGCGCACAUUCCAUUCUUCAAAUCUGAAAAGAAUGGUGAAUAGUUUGAAGAGGGAGACGACAUAGGAACUGAUCAAUCUGAAUGUACACUGAUGGACCAUGCAUAUUUCUGCUUGCAUUGUUUUGAAAUCCAAAGAAAUGUGUACUAUCGCAGACAGUAUGAGCCGACACAGUCCUUCACGCUUCAUUGGCAUACCUUCCAGUUUUUGAGAGAGCUGCUGUCCGAUCUGGGAAUGGAAUGUGAAGUUGAAGUACUACACUUUGGACUCUUUGACAAAUUGAGAGAUAAUAGAGCUUGUGGAAACCACAGAUAGACAGAUAAGCCGUAUCAGAUGUUUCAGCACAUAUUGUCCUCAGAGGUACAACCCUGUCACUUUUAAAAGGACAUCGAGUAAAGCACCAUUCGAGAAAUUUGUGAUUUUAGUUUCUACUUCUCUGGCCGUUUGCGUUCCAGGUGACAUGUGCUUCUUCACUCUGUCUCAGUUGGCAAAUGACUGAACUUAAGUUCUCUUUCCUUUCCGUGCUCAUCUAUUGAAAAGAUCUGCAUAUCUCAACAGACAUUUUACAGCUUAAUCGCCAUUCAUUAGUUAGUGGAUUCAAUUUUCAAUCCAUUCUUUUUGUCGGGACGGCAGAUACAAAUUGGACGUACAUAAAUUUAUAAGCUAGGGGCUUCAGAGAAAUUAUGGUAAGGGUGCAGGCAAGCUGGUGAAUAUUAACUGUGUUGAAUUAACCCGAGACGGGAAGAAGAAGAAUGGUUAAAACAUAGAAGGAACAGAGGCUUUGUGAGGUUUUCAAAAUGCUUUUGUUUGAGCUUGUGCUUCUUAUGGUUAAUACUUUUGAAAAAUGCUUUCAAAAAUAGGCUGCUGUUUAUUUAUAUGUGCCAUAACAUACAUGGUGGUCCUGAAAAGCUUCAUGACUUGCUUAUGUGGCCUGCUUGUUGAAAAUUUUUUUGUCAAUCAGAUGUGUUUUUCAAAACCUGAUGCAUCACUCAAAAUAAUUCUGAAACGCUCCUCUCUCAUUUUGACGUCAUGUGGAUGUGUGCAUUGCAGGAGCGGAAGACACCUGUUCAAGAAUGCGAAUUUACUUAGUAUGUAUUUUCUUAUUUGCUUGUUACGCUGUGGCGUUGCCCAAACAUGUAUGUCACUUGCAUGUGUUGCUACCACACACAAAAAGAAGUCAAAAUUUUUUUUCGACUUUGUACUUGAAAAAGUUUUAUGUCUCAUGGUUAAGGAGUUUAUGAUCAACAUACAAAGCAGGUAGCCCCCAAUUAGGUGCUUGCAGCUGCAAAUCCUCUGUGUCCUGUAAUUGAAGAAGACUGGAGGAUGCGGUUCCUUUCAAUUGACUGCCUCAACAUGCCAAUGGCAACCUCUCUUAUCUGCUCAGAAAGUCUUUGAACUGAAGAAUACUUUGAUCUUGACUUUUGAUCUGUGACAAUGACAACAGUGAACCAACUUUUAGUUUUUUACCCUUUUUGCUGAUACAUUGUUGACAUUGUUAUGUGUAUUUCAUGACGUGCCCCUGCCAAAGUUUUUCAUUGUGAUAGUAGUUCCACUUUGUCAGCAAGGUUGGUUCUAAGGAAACCAUGAUGGAUGCUGGCAUCCCUCCAUUUUAUGUUCACUGGUUAUUGGCACACUAUAUAUACUAAGGUGGAGAGUUCAAACAUUGCCAUUGUUUAAGUCAUUUUUGGUCUGCGCACGAAACGGCGUUCCCUCGUCACUGCAUGAUAUGCAUCCAUGUGAAAGCCGACUUUGCAUGGACACGUUCUACAAGCUGCUAUCGCUGCCACUGAGGAAUAUGCACUUGCUUUCAAGUCAAAGUUGGUAACUUCCGCUUUCUCCUAAAGUAUGUUCUUGAAGCAAAGGGAGAGCAUGUCUUUGUAGAUGACGAGCUGAGUGUGUCAGAUGACUCGGUACAUUUGUGAUAGGCGCAGAGCACAGGCAUGACUGGGCAUGACUGCUUUUGUUUCGUUAGUUUUUCUCGUCCUGCGUGUACUGUCCGUUGCCAUUUUGCACGAAAAGCAGCCGGCAUUAAGAAUGGUGUCAGAAGCAUGACUGCCCCGCGCCCGCAAAGCAGCACUUAUGCACACCCUCAAAAAUCUGUUGUCUACACUGUGGACUGAACCGCGAGGUCAGCAAGCUCGACCCUCUCUCACAGUUUUGUUUGGGUCGUUUGCUCAAAAGUCUUCGGCAAAAUAAUGUCCGUAUUUCUCUCUCUCUCCCCCCCCUACUACCCCACCAAUGUUGGCCAACGCAUGCGUCGGGUGUCAUUUUUCUUUUUAGACCCACCGGUAUCGUGAUGUGCGUCAUACUUUAGUUUCAUGAGCAUGUUUGGAUGUGGACUUGUUUCCUUUUUAAAUGUGCAUUUGUUUCCAUUCUGCAUUGCCCCUUUGAAAGGGGGACUACUGCCAACGGUUAAGGAACUGCUGCUCCUAACAUCCUGUUCGUGCCAAGUUUUUUGGUCAGUCUUUUCGUCGAGCAUAAGAGGGCGAAAGCGUCAAGAAUCGAAAGCGUCCUGGCAUUCGCUUUGCGCGUUUUUUCCCUGAUGGUUACAGGUCUGGACACUUGUGGGAGCAACAGAGGUAGGGCAUGGUUUUAUUGGGGAAGGCAGAGUUCUUUCUCUUCUGCGUGGAUGUGCCACUUGUUGGGAGACUGUUUAGUACCCACUGUUUUUGGGUGAGCUCUGUUGGUAGAGAGUGUGCAUUCUCCGAGGUGAAUGCAGGGUUGAGUUUUCAAGGUUAUAUAUGAGAUAAUCUAAUAAAAGUGAAUAGAGUUGUGUUACUA
rnacentral:lncRNA from 1 species